AAUAGAUACCCGGGUAGUCCACGCCGUAAACGAUGAAUGUUAGCCGUCGGGCAGUUUACUGUUCGGUGGCGCAGCUAACGCAUUAAACGUUCCGCCUGGGGAGUACGGUCGCAAGAUUAAGACUCAAAGGAAUUGACGGGGGCCCGCACAAGCGGUGGAGCAUGUGGUUUAAUUCGAAGCAACGCGCAGAACCUUACCAGCCCUUGACAUCCCGAUCGCGGAUUACGGAGACGUUUUCCUUCAGUUCGGCUGGAUCGGAGACAGGUGCUGCAUGGCUGUCGUCAGCCCGUGUCGUGAGAUGUUGGGUUAAGUCCCGCAACGAGCGCAACCCUCGCCCUUAGUUGCCAGCAUUUAGUUGGGCACUCUAAGGGGACUGCCGGUGAUAAGCCGAGAGGAAGGUGGGGAUGACGUCAAGUCCUCAUGGCCCUUACGGGCUGGGCUACACACGUGCUACAAUGGUGGUGACAGUGGGCAGCGAGACCGCGAGGUCGGGCUAAUCUCCAAAAGCCAUCUCAGUUCGGAUUGCACUCUGCAAC
rnacentral:rRNA from 1 species